rnacentral:rRNA from 1 species
UACGUAGGGGGCUAGCGUUGUCCGGAAUCAUUGGGCGUAAAGCGCGUGUAGGCGGCCCGGUAAGUCCGCUGUGAAAGUCGGGGGCUCAACCCUCGGAUGCCGGUGGAUACUGUCGGGCUCGAGUACGGAAGAGGCGAGUGGAAUUCCUGGUGUAGCGGUGAAAUGCGCAGAUAUCAGGAGGAACACCGAUGGCGAAGGCAGCUCGCUGGGACGGUACUGACGCUGAGGCGCGAAAGCGUGGGGAGCGAACAGG